rnacentral:rRNA from 1 species
GACGAACGCUGGCGGCGUGCCUAAUACAUGCAAGUCGUACGCUUCUUUUUCCACCGGAGCUUGCUCCACCGGAAAAAGAAGAGUGGCGAACGGGUGAGUAACACGUGGGUAACCUGCCCAUCAGAAGGGGAUAACACUUGGAAACAGGUGCUAAUACCGUAUAACAAUCGAAACCGCAUGGUUUUGAUUUGAAAGGCGCUUUCGGGUGUCGCUGAUGGAUGGACCCGCGGUGCAUUAGCUAGUUGGUGAGGUAACGGCUCACCAAGGCUACGAUGCAUAGCCGACCUGAGAGGGUGAUCGGCCACAUUGGGACUGAGACACGGCCCAAACUCCUACGGGAGGCAGCAGUAGGGAAUCUUCGGCAAUGGACGAAAGUCUGACCGAGCAAUGCCGCGUGAGUGAAGAAGGUUUUCGGAUCGUAAAACUCUGUUGUUAGAGAAGAACAAGGAUGAGAGUAACUGUUCAUCCCUUGACGGUAUCUAACCAGAAAGCCACGGCUAACUACGUGCCAGCAGCCGCGGUAAUACGUAGGUGGCAAGCGUUGUCCGGAUUUAUUGGGCGUAAAGCGAGCGCAGGCGGUUUCUUAAGUCUGAUGUGAAAGCCCCCGGCUCAACCGGGGAGGGUCAUUGGAAACUGGGAGACUUGAGUGCAGAAGAGGAGAGUGGAAUUCCAUGUGUAGCGGUGAAAUGCGUAGAUAUAUGGAGGAACACCAGUGGCGAAGGCGGCUCUCUGGUCUGUAACUGACGCUGAGGCUCGAAAGCGUGGGGAGCAAACAGGAUUAGAUACCCUGGUAGUCCACGCCGUAAACGAUGAGUGCUAAGUGUUGGAGGGUUUCCGCCCUUCAGUGCUGCAGCUAACGCAUUAAGCACUCCGCCUGGGGAGUACGACCGCAAGGUUGAAACUCAAAGGAAUUGACGGGGGCCCGCACAAGCGGUGGAGCAUGUGGUUUAAUUCGAAGCAACGCGAAGAACCUUACCAGGUCUUGACAUCCUUUGACCACUCUAGAGAUAGAGCUUCCCCUUCGGGGGCAAAGUGACAGGUGGUGCAUGGUUGUCGUCAGCUCGUGUCGUGAGAUGUUGGGUUAAGUCCCGCAACGAGCGCAACCCUUAUUGUUAGUUGCCAUCAUUCAGUUGGGCACUCUAGCAAGACUGCCGGUGACAAACCGGAGGAAGGUGGGGAUGACGUCAAAUCAUCAUGCCCCUUAUGACCUGGGCUACACACGUGCUACAAUGGGAAGUACAACGAGUCGCGAAGUCGCGAGGCUAAGCUAAUCUCUUAAAGCUUCUCUCAGUUCGGAUUGUAGGCUGCAACUCGCCUACAUGAAGCCGGAAUCGCUAGUAAUCGCGGAUCAGCACGCCGCGGUGAAUACGUUCCCGGGCCUUGUACACACCGCCCGUCACACCACGAGAGUUUGUAACACCCGAAGUCGGUGAGGUAACCUUUUGGAGCCAGCCGCCUAAGGUGGGAUAGAUGAUUGGGGUGAAG